rnacentral:rRNA from 1 species
UGGGGAAUCUUAGACAAUGGGGGAAACCCUGAUCUAGCCAUGCCGCGUGAGUGACGAAGGCCUUAGGGUCGUAAAGCUCUUUCGCCAGGGAUGAUAAUGACAGUACCUGGUAAAGAAACCCCGGCUAACUCCGUGCCAGCAGCCGCGGUAAUACGGAGGGGGUUAGCGUUGUUCGGAAUUACUGGGCGUAAAGCGCACGUAGGCGGACUAUUAAGUCGGCUGUGAAAUCCCCUGGCUCAACCAGGGAAGUGCAGUCGAUACUGGCGGGCUCGAGUCCCGGAGAGGGUGGUAGAAUUCCCAGUGUAGAGGUGAAAUUCGUAGAUAUUGGGAGGAAUACCGGUGGCGAAGGCGACCGCCUGGACGGGUACUGACACUGAGGCGCGAAAGCGUGGGGAGCAAACAGGAUUAGAUACCCCCGUAGUCC